rnacentral:rRNA from 1 species
UGCGGCCUACGGGGGGCAGCAGUGAGGAAUAUUGGUCAAUGGGCGGAAGCCUGAACCAGCCAAGUCGCGUGAGGGAAUAAGGCCCUACGGGUCGUAAACCUCUUUUGCCGGGGAGCAAGGGCCGGGACGCGUCCCGGCCCGGAGAGUACCCGGAGAAAAAGCAUCGGCUAACUCCGUGCCAGCAGCCGCGGUAAUACGGAGGAUGCGAGCGUUAUCCGGAUUUAUCGGGUUUAAAGGGUGCGUAGGCGGGGUUUUAAGUCAGCGGUAAAAAUUCGGGGCUCAACCCCGUCCGGCCGAUGAAACUG